AUUGAACGCUGGCGGAAUGCUUUACACAUGCAAGUCGAACGGCAGCACGGGGGCAGCCCUGGUGGCGAGUGGCGAACGGGUGAGUAAUACAUCGGAACGUGCCCGGUCGUGGGGGAUAACGUAGCGAAAGUUACGCUAAUACCGCAUACGAUCUGAGGAUGAAAGAGGGGGACCUUCGGGCCUCGCGCGAUCGGAGCGGCCGAUGUCAGAUUAGGUAGUUGGUGGGGUAAAGGCCUACCAAGCCGACGAUCUGUAGCUGGUCUGAGAGGACGACCAGCCACACUGGGACUGAGACACGGCCCAGACUCCUACGGGAGGCAGCAGUGGGGAAUUUUGGACAAUGGGCGCAAGCCUGAUCCAGCCAUUCCGCGUGCAGGACGAAGGCCUUCGGGUUGUAAACUGCUUUUGUACGGAACGAAAAGGCUCUGGCUAAUACCUGGGGCUCAUGACGGUACCGUAAGAAUAAGCACCGGCUAACUACGUG
rnacentral:rRNA from 1 species